rnacentral:rRNA from 1 species
UACGUAGGGUGCGAGCGUUGUCCGGAAUUAUUGGGCGUAAAAGAGCUUGUAGGCGGUUUGUCGCGUCUGCUGUGAAAAUCCGGGGCUCAACCCCGGACUUGCAGUGGGUACGGGCAGACUAGAGUGUGGUAGGGGAGACUGGAAUUCCUGGUGUAGCGGUGGGAAUGCGCAGAUAUCAGGAGGAACACCGAUGGCGAAGGCAGGUCUCUGGGCCACUACUGACGCUGAGAAGCGAAAGCAUGGGGAGCGAACAGG